GAUGAACGCUGACAGAAUGCUUAACACAUGCAAGUCCACUUGAACUUCGGUUUGGGUGGCGGACGGGUGAGUAACGCGUAAAGAACUUGCCUCACAGAUAGGGACAACAUUUGGAAACGAAUGCUAAUACCUGAUAUUAUGAUUAUAUGGCAUCGUAUAAUUAUGAAAGCUAUAUGCGCUGUGAGAGAGCUUUGCGUCCCAUUAGCUAGUUGGAGAGGUAACGGCUCACCAAGGCGAUGAUGGGUAGCCGGCCUGAGAGGGUGAUCGGCCACAAGGGGACUGAGACACGGCCCUUACUCCUACAGGAGGCAGCAGUGGGGAAUAUUGGACAAUGGACCAAGAGUCUGAUCCAGCAAUUCUGUGUGCACGAUGAAGUUUUUCGGAAUGUAAAGUGCUUUCAGUUGGGAAGAAAAAAAUGACGGUACCAACAGAAGAAGUGACGGCUAAAUACGU
rnacentral:rRNA from 1 species